rnacentral:rRNA from 1 species
UAGAGUUUGAUCCUGGCUCAGAACGAACGCUGGCGGCGUGCCUAACACAUGCAAGUCGAACGCGAACGGAAUCUUCGGAUUCCAAGUAGAGUGGCGCACGGGUGAGUAACACGUGGAUAACCUGCCCCAAGAUCUGGGAUAACAUUUCGAAAGAAGUGCUAAUACCGGAUAAGCCCACAACCUCCUCGGAGGAAGCGGGAAAAGAUUUAUCGUCUUGGGAUGGGUCCGCGGUCCAUUAGCUAGUUGGUGGGGUAAUGGCCUACCAAGGCUGCGAUGGAUAGCUGGUGUGAGAGGAUGAUCAGCCACACUGGAACUGAGACACGGUCCAGACUCCUACGGGAGGCAGCAGUGGGGAAUUUUGCGCAAUGGGGGAAACCCUGACGCAGCAACGCCGCGUGAAGGAUGAAGGCCUUUGGGUAGUAAACUUCUGUCAGAGGGGAAGAAAUGCCCGCAAGG